AGUGGCGGACGGGUGAGUAACACGUAAGAAUUUGCCUUUAGGAGGGGGAUAACAACUGGAAACGGUUGCUAAUACCCCAUACGCUUUCGAGUGAAAUGGAUUUCCGCCUAAAGAGAAGCUUGCGGCUGAUUAGCUUGUUGGUAGGGUAAUGGCCUACCAAGGCGACGAUCAGUAUCUGGUUUGAGAGGACGAUCAGACACACUGGAACUGAGACACGGUCCAGACUCCUGCGGGAGGCAGCAGUAGGGAAUUUUCCGCAAUGGGCGAAAGCCUGACGGAGCAAUACCGCGUGAGGGAUGACUGCCUAUGGGUUGUAAACCUCUUUUUUCGGGGAGGAACAAAAUGACGUGUACCUGAAGAAUAAGCAUCGGCUAACUCCGUGCCAGCGGCCGCGGUAAGACGGAGGAUGCAAGUGUUAUCCGGAAUUACUGGGCGUAAAGCGUCUGUAGGUGGCUCGAUAAGUCAACUGUUAAAUCUUGAAGCUCAACUUCAAAAUCGCAGUCGAAACUAUCGGACUAGAGUAUAGUAGAGGUAAAGGGAAUUUCCAGUGGAGCGGUGAAAUGCGUAGAUAUUGGAAAGAACACCGAUGGCGAAAGCACUUUACUGGGCUAUUACUGACACUCAGAGACGAAAGCUAGGGUAGCAAAUGGGAUUAGAUACCCCAGUAGUCCUAGCCGUAAACAAUGGAUACUAGGUGUUG
rnacentral:rRNA from 1 species